UACAGAGGGUGCAAGCGUUGUCCGGAUUUAUUGGGCGUAAAGAGCUCGUAGGUGGUUCGGUAAGUCGGAUGUGAAAUCUCCAGGCUCAACCUGGAGGGGUCAUUCGAUACUGCCGUGACUAGAGGUCGGUAGGGGAGUGUGGAAUUCCUGGUGGAGCGGUGAAAUGCGCAGAUAUCAGGAGGAACACCGGUGGCGAAGGCGGGUCUCUGGGCCGAUACUGACGCUGAGGAGCGAAAGCGUGGGGAGCGAACAGG
rnacentral:rRNA from 1 species